CCCCUCCCCCAGGGCGGCGGCUCCGGGGCCACGUCCCGGGCCUCGCAGACAGCCUCCCGCGCGGGGGAUACUUGAGCGCCCUUCCCUGCGGGGACGGCGGAGGAUGCAGACACAGGCGGUGGCUGGGAGAGCCGGCAGAUGAAGACUGGAAGAGUUGGCAAGACUCGGCCUGGGCUGCACAGCAGUUAGUGGCAGAGCUGGGACUGAAGUACAGGUCUCGCCUUGUCCGUGUUAUUUUCCACCAUCUGAUACAUCAAAACACGGACGGAGGGUCACUAUGUCAUGAAUCUGGCCCUGUUGCCAGGCGCGCAUACGUUAUUAACCAUCUACCAUGUGCCAGGUGACUGACUCCGAAUCCCAGAGUCCAAAAACAUUAGAAUUAACUGACAACCAUGUCUUAUACAAUAAAGUCCUUUUUUUUUGCCGCACCGCGGGGCAUGCGGAAUCUUAAUUCGCCGACCAGGGAUUGAACCUGUGACCCUGCAGUGAAAGCGCAGAUUCUUAACCACUGGACCCCCAAGGAAGUCCCUCUCUAACUUUUGAAGACAUUUCUCUCCUCUUUUCCAUUGAUGCCUUAAAACCGCUUCUCUCACCUGUGUUCUCUACUGACUGCCUCUUCUCAUUCUUUAUUUCCACGGUCUUCAUUAUUUUGUAUCUAAUUUUCUUUGAAAGAGGUCUUGGAGCCAGAGCUGGCCUGCAGCAUUUUUGUUUUUAUCAUCCUCAUAAAUACUUGGCUUAUUAGGCAUCAGAGCUGUGAACUCAACCUCAGGCAGCCAGCUGGUAUCCACUGGAGGGUACCGAGCUGCAUUUCUUCUGGGCUCUGCUUCAAUUCACUCAAGUUCUCUAGUCUAUAGCGCCUGUCAGGGCAGGGCGCUGGGGGAGCGCCAGCAGCAUCCUCAGCGAGGCUGAUCUUCCCUGCUCUCUGUGUGUUCUGGUCCCCGGAACCCAGCAGAGGCUCUGCUCCCCAUCCUGACUGGUCGGUUGAGAAGCUUUCUAAUCACAGCAUUCCUUGGUUUCCCUCAGAGGAGCUGGUCAGGAGGAAUUGAAGGCCUUCUCCAGGCAGAAUCCCCUCUGAUGCUGUCUGGGGUUUUGGUCUGCAGGCUGUCCCAGCAGCCUUUAUGGCCCUGCUCUGCCAAAGCCAAGUGGCAGACAAGCCUGGGAAAGGCCCUCAGAGUCCCCCAAUAUUCCCAGAAUGGAGUGCAAACUCCUCAGCCUGGCAUUCCUGGCCCCAGGAACACCUCUACCACCACGGGUCUCGAUAGUCUAGUAGUUCCCAACUAGGCUUCUGUGGUUUACCCUUUAGUUGAAACCCGUUAGUGAUUCCCGGUGUUUUCGAGACAAAGUCCGAUCUCGGCCUAACGUUCGCAGUUGUUCACUCUCUGGCCCCUGUUUACCUCUCCAGGCUCUGGAGAGGCUCCAUUCUUCCGGCACUCCCUUUUCCAGCCAGAUUCCCUGUACCUGUCCACGACUUCAGGACCUCUACAGGCCGUGCCUUCUCCCACUCCCUGCCCUCUGUCCAGCUAACGCCUACUCAUCCUUCAAAACUCACCCCUCAGGAACAGAUCCCAUGCUGAGCCCUGUCAGCUUGUUAUGCUGCUAUUAUGUUUAUGUGUCUGUUCUACCCUCUAGGCUGUGAGCUUCUUGAGAAGCAUUAUCAUGUGGGGAUUAAGAGCACAGGCUCUGGAGCCCUGCCACCUGGACCAGAUCCCAGCUCUGCCGCUUCUCAGCUGUGUCCAACCCAACAAUGUCUCCAAACGGAGUGUCGGGGUUGAAGAUGGCCUGCAACACUGCCUGAUCAUUUGGAGUCCCCAUGGUACUCAACUCCAAAAUCCAAAAAGAUUGGGAGGAACUCGUUAGAAGCCAACGCUUGACCACCCGUGGAUGAAGAAGGGGGAUAUGUACAAAGUAAAGGAACUAUUCCUUUGUCUUCUUGACCCCUUCCUCAUAUCCAGAGUUCAUUAGGUCCUGAACAUACAUCACUGAUGAAUAAGGGGAGAAAAUAUGGUUAAGAGAGACAGUGUAGAGUGGGGCCUGAGUGUAGAGUGGGAAAUGAUUUCACGAUUCCCCCUUAAAAGAAAGGACUGUGGAAGGGACUUUGUAAUCAGGUCACGGGCCACGCCCCUCCCAUUAGGCCACCUCAGCCAAAGCCAAAAGAAAGUUCAACCAUGUGCAGCAAUAAACUUGACAUGUUUAUUAAUUAAACUAUCACUUAAAUAAAAAAAAGUGCAUAGAAAAUAAACAUGUUUAAAAACUCCUUUUUUUUUUUACAACUAUGUACACUUUUUACUUUUACAUUCAGUCUUUCGUAGACAGCUUUCAGCAUUAUUAUUUUUUGAACUAUUAAAGUAUUUUCCUUCAU